rnacentral:misc_RNA from 1 species
AAAAGUAGCACUGUAGCAGAACGAAAACUGAAGAAGACUCUAAGGAGUGGGACUGAAGACUUAAGAGUGUAACGAGUAUUAUAUAGAUGGAGGUAUGUGUUGACAGUAUUGCAUCUGCUGUGAAUGCUGCAGUUGGAGGAGCAGCAAGGCUAGAAUUAUGCAGUGCCCUCAGUGAGGGUGGACUGACGCCUACAGUUGGUUUCCUGCAUGUGGUCAAAUCACUAGUCAAGAUCCCCGUAUUUGUCAUGAUACGGCCAAGAAGAGGCUUGGACUUUGUCUACUCUCCUGAAGAAAUUAACGUGAUGGAGCUUGAUUUGAAUAAUCUCAAAACAGCGGGAGCAGACGGUUUUGUAUUUGGAGCCCUGACUCCGUCUAAAAGUGUUAAUGAGAGUGUCUGUAAAAGACUUAUAUUGGCCGCAUCCCCUCUGCCUUGUACAUUUCAUCGUGCAUUUGAUGUUAUCGAAAAUCCAUUAGUAGAGUUAGAAACGAUUAUAUCGUUAGGGUUUGUACGUAUUCUGACCAGUGGUCAAGAAGAAACCGCGGUUAAAGGUGUGAAAAUGAUUAAGAACCUAGUGAAAUGUUCAAGAGAAAGGGUAUCAAUUAUGGCAGGAGCAGGAAUAACAGACAAAAAUCUGGAGUAUAUCUUAAGAGAAACUGGAGUAAGGGAAUUCCAUGCUUCUGCCAGGACUCCCAUUAUUGUUGGUGAAGGGGAACAAGGGAACAGUGUGACCAUGGGAACAUCUGAUGCUGAUUCAUCUUUAUUGAUUACAAACUCAGAUUUAGUGGAGGAUAUGAUAAAAGUUAGUAACCUAGUUUGGUCUCAAGAAAACAGAUGAUCCAGUAACAUAUUUUUAUACUGUGAUCAUAAGAUUACAUAUUGUAAUAUAUAUCAUAUAUAAUCUAAGUUAAGAUUUUACAUGUGCCUUUUUACUCAAGGUGAAGAGAAUUGUCACUUCAAUUAUAUAUGUUGAAUAUGUACUCAAUGGUAAUAUUGUAAAUUAUAAAUCUUAAUAACAAGGUUAAUUAAUUAUAGAGUGGGUAUUCAUUCUUUAUUAUUUUUGCAUUAUGUACUUUUAUACAAGGGAAAAGAGAGUCAAAAGUAAUUAAAUAUUUAUUUUUGUUAAUUAA